rnacentral:rRNA from 1 species
UUGUGCUAAUACCGGAUAAGUCUUUACGGAGAAAGCUUUAUGCGCCAAUGGAUGAGCCUGCACUUGAUUAGUUUGUUGGUGGGGUAAUGGCCUACCAAGACUGUGAUCAAUAGCUGAUUUGAGAGGAUGAUCAGCCACAUUGGGACUGAGCACGGCCCAAACUCCUACGGGAGGCAGCAGUAGGGAAUCUUGCACAAUGGAGGAAACUCUGAUGCAGCGAUGCCGCGUGAGUGAAGAAGGCCUUUGGGUUGUAAAGCUCUUUCGUCGGGGAAGAA